UACGUAGGGAGCAAGCGUUGUUCGGAUUUACUGGGCGUAAAGGGCGCGUAGGCGGCAAAUUAAGUCAGCUGUGAAAUCUCCGAGCUUAACUCGGAACUGUCAGCUGAUACUGAUCUGCUAGAGUGUGGAAGGGGCAAUCGGAAUUCUUGGUGUAGCGGUGAAAUGCGUAGAUAUCAAGAGGAACACCUGUGGCGAAAGCGGCUCACUGGACCACAACUGACGCUGAGGCGCGAAAGCUAGGGGAGCAAACAGG
rnacentral:rRNA from 1 species